rnacentral:rRNA from 1 species
AGAGUUUGAUCCUGGCUCAGGACGAACGCUGGCGGCGUGCCUAACACAUGCAAGUCGAACGGAGUUGAAAAGAGCUUGCUUUUUUCAACUCAGUGGCGGACGGGUGAGUAACGCGUGAGUAACCUGCCUUUCAGAGGGGGAUAACGUUCUGAAAAGAACGCUAAUACCGCAUAAGAUUGUAGCUUCGCAUGGAGCAGCAAUCAAAGGAGCAAUCCGCUGAAAGAUGGACUCGCGUCCGAUUAGAUAGUUGGCGGGGUAACGGCCCACCAAGUCGACGAUCGGUAGCCGGACUGAGAGGUUGAUCGGCCACAUUGGGACUGAGACACGGCCCAGACUCCUACGGGAGGCAGCAGUGGGGAAUAUUGCACAAUGGGGGAAACCCUGAUGCAGCAACGCCGCGUGAGGGAAGAAGGUCUUCGGAUUGUAAACUUCUGUCCUCAGGGAAGAUAAUGACGGUACCAGAGGAGGAAGCUCCGGCUAACUACGUGCCAGCAGCCGCGGUAAUACGUAGGGAGCAAGCGUUGUCCGGAUUUACUGGGUGUAAAGGGUGCGUAGGCGGAUUGGCAAGUCAGAAGUGAAAUCCAUGGGCUUAACCCAUGAACUGCUUUUGAAACUGUUAGUCUUGAGUGAAGUAGAGGUAGGCGGAAUUCCCGGUGUAGCGGUGAAAUGCGUAGAGAUCGGGAGGAACACCAGUGGCGAAGGCGGCCUACUGGGCUUUAACUGACGCUGAGGCACGAAAGCAUGGGUAGCAAACAGGAUUAGAUACCCUGGUAGUCCAUGCCGUAAACG